rnacentral:rRNA from 1 species
CUACGGGUGGCUGCAGUGGGGAAUAUUGGACAAUGGGGGGAACCCUGAUCCAGCCAUGCCGCGUGUGUGAAGAAGGCCCUCGGGUUGUAAAGCACUUUCAGUGAGGAAGAACGCCUGGUGGUUAAUACCCAUCAGGAAAGACAUCACUCACAGAAGAAGCACCGGCUAACUCCGUGCCAGCAGCCGCGGUAAUACGGAGGGUGCGAGCGUUAAUCGGAAUUACUGGGCGUAAAGCGCGCGUAGGUGGCUUGAUAAGCCGGUUGUGAAAGCCCCGGGCUCAACCUGGGAACGACAUCCGGAACUGUCAAGCUCGAGUGCAGGAGAGGAAGGUAGAAUUCCCGGUGUAGCGGUGAAAUGCGUAGAGAUCGGGAGGAAUACCAGUGGCGAAGGCGGCCUUCUGGACUGACACUGACACUGAGGUGCGAAAGCGUGGGUAGCAAACAGGAUUAGAUACCCGAGUAGUC